UUCUCUGUAACAUUUUUUUAAUUGUAUUUAAAUGUCCUUCAUCCUGAGGGGGACAUGAAGGUCUGGAUGUCUGGUGCGUUUCUGUUCUUUCAGCUCGAGCGGUCGAAUUUUCGGCUGAAGUGUCGACGCUUCGGUUCAGACUGAACGCCAGCGAGAGCUCAGUGGACGACCUGAAGAAGAAGAGCUCAGCUCUGGCGGCGGAGCUGCCGUUCCUGCAGACGAGACUGAGGGCGAGUGAGAGCACAGUGGAGCAGCUGAGGAGGAAGAGCGCAGUCCUGGCGGUCAGACUGUGUCACGCUGAGCGCCUGAUGGAGGAGCUGAUGAAGCAG